rnacentral:rRNA from 1 species
CCUUUGUACACACCGCCCAUUGCUCUUACCGAUUGAAUGGCUCAGUGAGGCGUCCGGACUGGCCCAGAGAGGUGGGCAACUACCACUCAGGGCCGGAAAGCUCUCCAAACUCGGUCAUUUAGAGG